CACAUUUGUGAUCUGACCAAGAGAAAACACGCAGGAAACACAGUGCUAAAGUAUAAGGAAAUCACUGAGCUACUGUUCAGGCCAUUUUUAUUUAAUCAGCAGACGAUGGACUUACCAGACCUCCCCUUACUUGUACCGUGGUGGAUGAUGAUGUGUAGCCAUUUGCACAGUCCAAUCAUUUUACUGGUAUUUGUUCCUUAAAGUCACCAAUAUGAUUUCUGCAUUUAGUGAUUACAUCCAGUGCUCCAUAUGUAUGACUUUACUGAACAACACACACACAACACCUUGUGGGCAUCGGUACUGUGAGAAAUGUAUCAAGGAGUGGGUGGACCGUCAGCACAAGUGUCCCUGCUGUAACCACCCUCUGCAGAACAAUCAACUCAUGAAAGACCACCAGUUUGACGGACUUAUAGCAUGUGUAUUACAGGAACAAGACAAAUCGGAAACACAGUAUUUUGAAAGCCUUAUAUCUAAAGCCACAUCAACAACUGCCAAUGAAACUUUCUCUCUUCAGACUCCAGUUGAAAAUGUUUUGAAAAAGCAUUUGUUAAGCAGUUUGGCAGCACAUGAAAAGUUUUGUCAGGAACUGAAGAAAGAAUUUAUCAGCAGGACACAAAAACUUGAGGAGGGAAUGAAGAGAACAAUUUCAGAACUGGCCCAGCAUGGUUUGUCAGAAGAAGAGCUUCAGUCCCAAACAGAAGACUUAUUGAAAACACUUAAGAGACAGAAGGAUGGAUUAAGUAAAGAUUUAGAAUCCUGUGUGCAGUUAGUGGCCACGGCAUAUGACAAACAUUUGUCAAAUCACAUUCCAACUGUGGACAUCUUGCCAGUGAAAGUGUCAGUAUUCUUACUGGAGAAAGAUGUAAGACUGGAUAACAUACAGCUGAAGCCUACAGACAGUUUAUCUGACAUCCAAGAAAUAGUGGAAUUGUCCCUGGCUGAGAGGAAUGACCCAAUUGUAUCCAUGGGUGAUGAUGUGCAGUGGCUAGUGUUUGGACCGUUUGCAAAGGGAAGUAAUUGGGAAAUGCAGGCUGUUGCACAGGAUAUAAUUGAGCACGGAAACACGAACCACCCAGGUGUAUGUGUGAUACAGGACAAAACCAUGAUCUCAGUCCAGUACUGCAUUAAACCUAAUAGUGACCUUGUUGUCUGGGGAAAUGUGAAAUGCAAGAGUGACUUGCCCAAACUCUGCUUUGUGAAGUUGUUCUCACCAGGUGAACAGAAAUCAGUGGACUACUUUUCCUGUAAACAGUGUGGCUUUAACUGGGUGUGUCGAUCCUGUAUGGAAAUUUGUCACCAAGGUCAUAAUGUGGUCCCCUACAUCAUGAAUCAUCAACCUACAUGGGCCAGCAUUAUGGUGGGAAGAAAAUGGGCACAGCCCAGGGAAACCCACGACCAUCUGCAGGUUGCUUGCAGACCUUCACACGUACAUCUGGAGAGGAAGCCAGCAUGAACUGAACUUGAACUCACAGUUGCCACAUUGGCGAGAGGCCUCGGGGUCAUUGCGCCACGCAGGCGUACUUACCACCUUUGCCAUGGACAUCGCCUCCCUAUUCUAAGGGCUUGUUGCUAUUGUCCCAAGAAGAAGACCUGCAUCAUCCAAGAUGUCAAGUGAGGAAUGCUGUUUUUGAACAUUUUCUGGCAUAGGUAUAUGCAAUCCUUUCCAAGUUGCAUACAAAUAGAAAAUUCACGUUUUGUCACCUCAGAAAUGUUUUAUGUUCAGUGUUACAUACCGGUAUGACAUUCCUGAUGUUUAAAUGUGUCAAAAAGGUCCAAUUGCAAUGUGGGUGUUAACAUACACGUAAUGUAGAUGCGAGUAGGAGUGGCGUAGCAGAGGUGUACUCCUAUCUUCUCACCUGAACUGUAAGGUUAAAGUUUCUGAGCGGAACUCUUAAUUCAUACAUUUUAAGAUUUCAGAGGUGCAUUUUGUUACAUGUAGGGUACUUUUGUUUUAAUAUUUGUGAGGUGUAUCAGAGGUGUAGUACUUAUGCCUGAGAUACACUCUUCUCCUCCUCCUUAAUUUUUACAUUUUGUAGGUGUAUCUGAGAUUUUCUUGUUGUCUUCAUACCAUACUAUGUUUCAGAGGGUUACUCUUCCUUCACUCAUUUUACAUUUGUCCACAAGUAUGCCUGAGAUGUGCUCCUUUCUUACCUUCAGAUAUUUCUUUUGCUUCUUACAUCUUUAUAAACUUUCCAGAAAUAUAUCUGAGGUGUAUUCUUCUACUCCCAUACCUUACUGUGUUUCUCAGUUGUACACUUUUCUGUACGUGUACAUUUCCCAAGUUCCAGGGGUUAUUUCUGUAAUUUUCUGACUUUAAAGUCAAAAUUUAAAUUCUCCUUACGAUCCGUAGUUUUUGGUACUGGAAGUUGAAAUUUGGACAUGUUUGCCUCAUGGUAACAUUGAUGAGGGGGACAGAAUUUUAAAGUGUCAAGUCGAAUAAUAAGCUUUAAGAUUGUAUUUCAAAAUUUGGCUUAAAUCGGAGGUGAGUUUGUUGAACCAGCCACUGAAGUACACCUGUGGUGUGUUCUUCUCUACCUCCAUGUCUUACCAUGUUUCUUAAUUGUACUUUUCUAUACCGUCAUGUUCAUUUCUAAGUUCCAUAAGUUUAUCUUAUCUGAUCUUAUCUACCUUCAGUCUGUAUUGAUGCUUUUUGUUUUUUGUCUACAAGUGCAUAUUUCUAAAUUUCAGAUGGUUAUCUCAGUGUGUGCUUUUCUCUUACCUUCAUGCCAUACUGUUAAUGUUUCUCAGAUUUAGUUUUCUCCACACACAUACAUUUCUAAAGCUCCUGAAGUGUAUCCAAGAUGUGCUUUUCUCUACCCUCAUGCCUUCACUAUGUUUCUCAGCUGUACUUUUUUGCUACAAGGUACAUUUGUAAGUUCAAGAAGUGCAUCUGAGGUGUGCUCUUCUAUAGUGCCAUACUGUUAAUGCUUUUCAGAUUUGCUUUUCUCUACACAUGCACAUUUGUAAGUUCCAGAAGUGUAACUGAGGUGUGCUCUUCUAUAGUGCCAGACUGUUAAUGCUUUUCAGAUUUGCUUUUUUUCUACACAUACACAUUUGUAAGUUCCAGAAGUGCAUCUGAGGUGUGCUCUUCUAUAGUGCCAGACUGUUAAUGCUUCUUAGAUUUGCUUUUCUCUACACAUGCACAUUUGUAAGUCGCAGAAGUGUAACUGAGGUGUGCUCUUCUCUGCCUCCAUAUUGUACUAAUGUUUCUCAGUUGUACUUUUUCUAUACAUGUACAUUUGCAGAUUCCAGAAGUGUAGUCUGAAGUGUAUUAUUUUCUACCUUCAUACCUUACUUUUUUCUCAGUUGUACUUUUUCUACACAUGUACAUUUUGCAGGUUCCAGAAGUGUAGUCUGAAGUGUAUUAUUUUCUAUCUUCAUACCUUAUGUUUUUCGCAGUUGUACUUUUUUCUCUACAUUUUUAGCUCACCUGUACUUAGGCUCAUGUCUUACCCUGAGUGUUGGCGUCCAGUAAACUGGGAAAACAAUGUGAAACAAAAUAUCCUUUAUUGAGCUCUGGUUUUUUUCAACCAUACAGAGCACAAUAACAAGAGGGGGAUAUUCCAUUGCUGAUGCUCUGUGUGCAUAUUAAUUACCGUAAAUCACCAAAUUCCUGAUUUAGUGUAUUGUGCAUUCAAAUGGAUGUUAAACAAAAUGCUAGAAUGGUAUCUCAAAAAGUACAGUACUUCCGCUUUGGGAGGAUUUAGAUCCGGGGUCAGCCCUGGGUCUGGUCACACCUAAACCUUUAAAAGAGGAAGAUCUAACUUCCUCAUUUGGCGUUCAGCAUGAAGGGGAUAGUGCAACAACUGGUUGACCCCUAUCAGUAUAAUGGCCCGGGCCGGGCAGCUUACUUGCCUUCAGUUAAUCGUUUCAGUGAAGCAGCAUAACAGAGUGAUGGAAAUCCGCCCUGCAACAAGGAGGCACAUCACAUGCACUCUAAGGACUCCUUCGUCAUCAUAUGACUGAAAAAUUGCUAAGUACGACGUUAAACCUCAAGUACUCACUCACUCACUGAAAAAGUACAGCAUGUAUUGGCCUGAAGUUUUAUAUGUAUAUAAAGCAGAAUGACACAAGGGGGAUAUUCCAGUGCGGAUGCUCUGUGCGCAUAUUAAUUACCGUAAAUGACCAAAUUCACAAAUUUAUUACUUUAUGUAUUGAUCAGAAGUUUUAUAUUUAUGUUUCUCCUAAAGGCGAGCCCUUUGGUAGCCUUGUACCAAGUCUAAGUUAUUUUAUUGAUGUUUUAGGCUGCACUUAAGAAUACAUGUAGUUUUUCUAUACACAUGUACAUUUCUUAGGCCCCCCACAUAUAUAACUGAUAACCAAGUUGCAAUUUUAAAUGAGAGGAGCAUGCAUACUCAUAUCAAGUAACCAGGCCAGUUUCUCAAAACCAUCACUGACUGAAAUAGAAAUUUGAAAUGUAAUUUAUGUUUGGUCCCAAAAGAGUAAACUUUCGACUAUCUCAUGAAUGUUUAUAUUGUAUGACAAAUGUCAAAAUUUAAAGCUUUAUUGUGGUACCUCUAAGCUUUCCAGAUGUUUGGAAUUGGCUGUCUGCGAUAUGGAUUUCCCUUGAUGUCAGAUAAUUUCCUGCAGUAAAAAAAUUUGUUAAAUUUGUCGGUGUAUUAAGAUGAUGUUUAACAGGAAAAAAAACAAAGUUUUGAAACAAGAAUAAUAAUGGUGAUAUCAGAUUUCUGCUCAAAGGUUAAUGUAGGUGUGCUAGAGACGUUUUACUUGUAUACUGCAUGGACGCCUCCUAAAGGGUGUUGUGUAGUACACUACUUACCUUCCAUUCUUCUUCAGCACCCCUGCAAUUGAUGUGUAAAUCUUCUCUCUGUAUUGUUGGCGUAAACUUUCAGAACCAGUCUGUACAUGUAAGACACCACUAAUAUUGUAUCGGUUAUGCAUUGACUUCAGAUUAAGUUAUAUAUAUCUAUUCUUGUUAUUAGGCCAAAUGUGAUGGUAACAAAAUUUUACCAAAUUAAAUGCUGUUAAAAUUCAGUCUAAAUUCAGUGUAAAGCGUUUGCUUGCUUUAAUGGGGUGUGACUAAAACCCGUUCGGUACCUCUAAGUUCACCGUAUGACAGUGCUAAUACCAUGCAGCCCAUGGCAGUACUUGUACAAUCCAGUGCAUGGUAGUUCUGGUACAAUCCAGCACAACCUGGUAACAAUUUUUGCCCAUUAAAGGUAGUAAGGCUUUACUACAUGUUCAUGUAUUUACCUGGACUAUUAUAGACAUAUUUAUUUGAUUGGUGUUUUGCACCCUACUCAAGAAUGUUUCACUUAUACGAGAGUGGCCAGCAUUAUGGUGGGAGGAAACCCGGACUCUGCCCCGGGGAAACCCACGACCAUAAGCAGGUUGGGACUAUAAUAGACAUGCAUUACAUAGUUAAGUGCGUUCUAAUGUUGCUUCUUAUAAAAUACGUGUGUAUAAUUACGGUCUACAUGUAGCUAGAUAUAGUGCAGUCAGUAAAUGCAAUAAAGUGCCUUUCAGUUGCGUAUGUACCGGCGCUUAAGGCAUCUUUGCCAUCCAAUUUAAUCCAGAGCGGCGUGUGAUAGUCGCGAACCGUCCAGACAAGCCAGUACAUUAUUUGUCUGUUCUGUUACCCACUGGGCACCUGCCAAUCCGGUUCCACACAGCCCAGCACAUCUCAGAGUUCUAUAUGACACUGCUGUAGUCCGUUUCUUUUAAUUUGUCUCCUAUAUUCAGCUAUCUGCAGUACACUCGCAACCAAAAUCGCCUUUCUUCAGUGACACGCAACACCACUUUACCUUUACACAUCGAUAUGUUGGACGUACAUAUUACUGCGAAGAAAAUGAAGUUAGAAUACUUUUUCUAAUGUUAAUAAGCUUGUUUUCCAGACGAAGACGUCAUUGCCUCGGGCGAUGCCAUAAUUAUUCAAUAGACAAUGACAAUGAAGAGGUUUUUGUUUUACAAUAGCUGCACACCAAGUAGUUACGCCAAACUCCACGACGUAACAAAGUGUACACUAUACUCACCGUGAAAAUAUACUACGCUGUUUUUAUAACAGAAUUUCGUAACAUCGAACUCUGUAGAUCUACUUCUGUGAGAUCAUAUCGCUAUAAAAGAUAAAUUAUACUUUACUUAUUAAAUUUAUACGUGUAUUAUACUGCAGUUUAGGUAAUUUGUGUUGCUCGAUCUCCGUCAGAAGAUAUUGGACUGCGGCCAUUAUCCAGAAUGCCUGCAUUUUUAAAAUAAUAUGACGUCACUCGAGGCGUGUCGAAAACCAGGUUAUGAAUUGUAUGACCAGCACGCAAAAAUAUAGCUGUUGUAUAUAUCAUCAUGUCUCUA